ensembl:lncRNA
AGUCACUGUUAUCUAACUGAUUAAGCCAGUUCAUUUACUAUUUAUGAAUGGUCAAGUACAGUUUAAGGAUUUUAAAAAAUGCAUAAAGCUAUGAAAGAUUAUGUAAAAAUAAUGAUAUUGUCUGUCAUGUUACAAAUGUUGAUCACUCUAUUACAAACAUAGACUGUGCAGCAGCUUGGCACAUGCAGUGAUAGGAGAGCAGAUAUUUAUCAUACCAUGUUACUUGAAUUGGAAUUGAGGAAAUUCCCUGCAAUCCGCAAACUGAAGUAAUAUUCAUAGCUAGUUUAGUUAAGCAAACUGAGUCGUUUAGCAUGGAAGUGUCACGAAUACCACCGAAGGUGGCUCCCCUUUCUGCUCGGGUGGCGCUCGGCGGUCCUCGUCGCCGGUCUAUUAGCUGCCACCGAUCCCUUUUUCCUUUUCGUUUGUUUUUGUCUAAUUGUUUUCACCUGUUCCUUGUUGGGGUUUUGGGAUGGGUGUUAUUGAAGUUCGUUUUGCCCGCUGGUGUUUGUGCGGGCUUGUUGGUUUGGUGAUGUAUCGUGUUUGUUUUGAGUUUUCGUUGUCCAGUGUUUUGUAACUAGGUUUUGGGUUUGUUUAGCGCCAGUGUUUUAGGGCAUUCACCCAUGUUUGGACCUGUUACGUUUUGAAGGACAUGAAAGCGUUUUUCCCGUUCACUUCGCUCUCUGCAUUUGACUCCUCACUGAUCAUUUACCCGACGUUACAGGAAGUACAAAUAAAUAAUCGUUAUUGUCCCCUUUUGAAGUCCAUUGUCAGUAAUCAAGCAAAUCAGAAAGAUACACUUCUGUAGUUAAUUGGAACCAAGAUUAAAAUCUACAAGGUACUUUUUUUUUCUUUGUCACAAGUAAAUUAAUAAGUAUAGAGAAAUUGGGAACAUGUCAGGUCUUUCCAAAUAAUUGGCAUGUGGCCAAUAUGUAUGCUGCAUGCUUAGCUGCAAAUCUCAGUUGACAAAAUACAAUGCUUUUAAAAGUCAUAUGGCAUGUGGCCAAUAUGUAUGCUGCAUGCUGAGCUGCAAAUCUCAGUUCACAAAAUAUAAUGCUUUUAAAAGUCAUAUUCGUCAUCAUCUUAGAGAGUCUGCUGUAUCACAAUGUGACACGAUGCAAGGGCCGUUUGCAUGUUAAAACUAACUCUGGUGUUGUCAUCUAGGAUGCCUUACUGUUAACUACAACUUUCAAUUUCAAAACAGAACCACACCAGUCCCUUGUUGGCCAAUAGAAAUGUAGCAUUUCAGGAUACACUUUCUAUGCACCCAAUAUACUUUCUGGUGAAACAACAUUGUCGUUCCACUGUUUAACUGUAUCAUAGACAUUUUCUAAUAUUACAUUGCAAACAUCCUUAAUGUAGCCCCCUUUAAAUUAGAUGAAUUGAUUUUUGCACGUACAUUUUUGUUAGUCAACAAAUCAAAUGAUUGUAUCUGAAGGGGUAGAGGACCACUGCUAGUGAUUAAGAAGGGCGGACACACUAGUAUAGAAUUACAUUAUUUAUGUUAUUUCGUCCAACGCAGGUGCCUAUUCAAGAUCAACCCAGAUAAGGGGUCCAAAGUGGAGAAGUCAAGAAAGCAGCAUGCAAUCAAUCCCAAAAGUUAUUUUUCUGAUCUCAAACAUCGCAGACUAUGAAUGGAGGGAGUAGCCUCGCGCACGCACGCAUACAGGUACUUAAAUCCACCGACUGCAGCACGCAGUCAAGAAACAGGCAGAUGAUCAACACUUGGCCAAAAUGUUAGAACUGAAUGUUUUUACAUUAGCAUGUUGUAAGUUGCUUUUAAGUGAAUUUUUGACACGGUAUAUGUAAAGUUUGAGUUCAAGAAAUGUUUUUGCACUAGGAUCGAUAUACCUUGUCCUACACACAUCCCCCCCAGAUAGUUGUGGGUUAGGAUGACAGAAUAAUAACUUGACAUAUGCUUUAUAACCAAAAUGUCAAAAUACUGUUAAAAAAAAAAAUAUAUAUAUAUUGAAGUUAAUUUCUUAUGUUUGACACCGUAACUAUCAAGUGUAUAGUUCCAGAAAUGUUUGUACACUGAGAUUAUCUUCUUAACACACCCCUCCCCUCCCUCUCUGUCUACCCCUUUACCUCUCUGCCAUGCCACUGCACGCACAGGUGAAGGUUUGAACAUGUAUUGAAUAACUUAAUAUACGUCAUAAAUCUUGAAAUACAUUUAUAAGGAAAUCCCUGUGUCAUGUCUUAUUUCUUUUUUUUGCUGGAGAAUGCUUUCUUUUCACAACCAAUAAUAGUUACAUUGAGAGUAGGUUUUUGUAAUAUUAUAAUUAUCUGUUUUCUAGCUUUAUUUUGUCAACAAUUAAAGGAGUUGUCUGUUUUUUUGGCUGACCAAUUAUCUAUUUUCACAACUGAUACCAGUUGAAUUGAGAGUAGUUUUUUGUAAUAUACAAUUAUCUGUGUUCUAGCUAUAUUUUGGCAACAAUUAAGGAGUAAUGUCUGUUUUUUUUUUUUCACUUAACAAUUCUCUAGUUUCACAACUGAUGCCAGUUAGAUGAAGGGUAAGUUUUUAAAAAAUAUUAUGACAAUUAUCUGUAUUUUUGUGUAACUUUGGCAUCAAUUAAGGAAUUAUUUAAGUUUCUUAGCUGACCAAUUCUCUAUUUUCACAACUGAUACCAGUUAUAUUGAGGGUAGGUUUUUGUAAUAUUAUGACAAUCAUGUCACCCUGAUCUGUUUUACCUGUCUUUGUGAUUGUCACCACCCCACUCCAGGUGUUGCCCAUCUUCUCCAUUACACCCUGUGUAUGUAUACCUGUGUUCUCUGUUUGUCUGUUGCCAAUUCAUUUUGUUUCGGCAAGCCUACCAGCAGUUUUCCCUAUGCUCCUGUCGCGAUUGUUCCUGUUGUCCCGGUGUUGAUCAAUCUGCCUGUCUGCUGUCCUGUGCCUUUGCCCCACCUUUCUAGAUUACUGACCUUUGCCUGCCCUGAGCCUGCCGGCCAUCCUGUACCUUUGCCCUACCUAUCUGGAUUACUGACCUCUGCCUGCCCUUGACCUGCAUGCCCCUGUUCGAUUAAUAAACUGUUGUUACUUCGAUGUUGUCUGCAUCUAGGUCUUACCUGAAAAGUAAUAAAUUAUCUGUGUUCUAGCUAUA